GGUCACUUGGGGAAGAAAAUUGAAGGUAAGUUCAUUGUAGUUGGCUUCUAUCUUGAUGUUCAUGAGUUCUUCUUGAUUCUACCUUAACUCUUGAAGCAUAUUUCAGUUUUUAGUUGUGUUGCGAGCAUUUAGUCAUGAACUAAAAUGAAGGAAAUGGUUGUUGUUUCAUGUUCUUUUGAUGAAAAAUGGAAGAUAGGUGAAGUUGAGCCAAACAAAUGAGCAUGCAUGUGCCUUAGAUGCUAAGGGGAAAAAUCGGCUAACAUGUUGUGCUUUAAAAUGAUGAAAUGGAGAUUAUACUUAAGUAAAAUCAUAGAUAUGUGAUGAUUGAUUGGUGAUAUACAUGUUUAAAUAACAAGCAUGCAAGUUAGGUGUGAAAGAGUGAUUUGGUAAUAAAUCUGCUUGGGACAACAGUAGUAACGUGAUUUUAGAAAAUCACCAUAAAUUGUGGGAGAUGAAUUAGAAGCUGAAUAAAUUAUGUAAUUAAAGCUUAUUGAGUCUAGUUUCUAAUGAAAUAAACAAGAACAUAUUUUGAAUUCUGUACAAUGAGAAAUUUGAUUCGUAAUGAAGAGUGGUCAGAUUAGUCAAACAGUGAAACAUGGGAAACUUUGAGAAAAAUCUGGUAUUAAUUGGCUAAACCAAAAAUUCUGAAAAUUUUAUGGAUAGAAGAUAUAUGAGUCUAUUUUCAGGGAAAAUUAACGGAAAAUGAUUUGGAGUUUUGUAGCUCCACUUAUAAAUAAUUUAGUGACUGUUGCUCAGGAAGACAGCUUGCAGUGAAAUUAUGAUUAUGUGGUAAACAUUGAAAAAAAUUUGUUAAUGAGUUGCUUAUUGAUUUCUUAUAAGCUUACUAUGAUCUGUAGGUGUGGUUGGCCGAAUAUUGUUAAGGGGUUAAUACGUAGUUUGUAUUUGAAUAGUUAGAUUAACGUGUUAGUAAUCCAAUUGUAGGCGGUUCGUGUGUGGAUCUCGUCAGCAUAUCGUCGCAAACAGGUGUGUAACUAACACCCUCUUUCUUAGUCUAGAUCGGCAAAAGUCGAAAAGCCGAAAUGCCGAAAACUGGUAUUUUGUCGAUUUGCGAGUGUGCGAAUGCUCGUGAGGUAAAUCGAUUAAUAUUUUUGGUAAGCUGCAAAAUUUGGACUGCAAAGUACAUGAUUUCUGUGCCCUUGAUAUUUAUGGGCUUAAUGGGCCAAAAUUGGAAUGAUGGGCCAACGGGCCCAAUUCGGUAAGAACCCUGGGUACGUGAUUCUGUAGUACGUGAAAGGUAGGAAUAUGAAUGAAAAACCCUAAAAUAGAUAAAUUAUUGAAAUACCUUUAAAAGUGGA
rnacentral:lncRNA from 1 species